rnacentral:rRNA from 1 species
CCCUUAGAUGUUCUGGGCUGCACGCGCGCUACACUGAUGCACUCAACGAGUUUACGACCUUGCCCGAUAGGGUUGGGUAAUCUUUUUAAAAUGCAUCGUGAUGGGGAUAGAUUAUUGCAAUUAUUAAUCUUCAACGAGGAAUUCCUAGUAAGCGCGAGUCAUCAGCUCGUGCUGAUUACGUCCCUGCCCUUUGUACACACCGCCCGUCGCUCCUACCGAUUGAGUGCUCAGGUGAAUAAUUCGGACUGCAGCAAUGUUUGGAUCCCGAACGUAGCAGCGGAAAGUUUAGUGAACCUUAUCACUUAGAGGAAGGAGAAGUCGUAACA